UACGUAGGUGGCAAGCGUUGUCCGGAUUUAUUGGGUUUAAAGGGUGCGUAGGCGGCCCUAUAAGUCAGUGCUGAAAUAUCCCGGCUUAACCGGGAGGGUGGCAUUGAUACUGUAGGGCUUGAGUAAAGUUGAGGUUGGCGGAAUUGACGGUGUAGCGGUGAAAUGCUUAGAUAUCAGGAGGAACACCGGUGGCGAAGGCGGGUCUCUGGGCCGAUACUGACGCUGAGGAGCGAAAGCGUGGGGAGCGAACAGG
rnacentral:rRNA from 1 species